rnacentral:rRNA from 1 species
UACAGAGGUGCCAAGCGUUGGUCGGAUUCACUGGGCGUAAAGGGUGCGUAGGUGGGCAGGUAAGGCAGUGGUGAAAUCUCCGAGCUUAACUCGGAAACUGCCGUUGAUACUAUUUGUCUUGAAUAUUGUGGAGGUAAGCGGAAUAUGUCAUGUAGCGGUGAAAUGCUUAGAUAUGACAUAGAACACCAAUUGCGAAGGCAGCUUACUACACAACUAUUGACGCUGAGGCACGAAAGCGUGGGGAUCAAACAGG